rnacentral:rRNA from 1 species
GACAGAGGGUGCAAACGUUGUUCGGAAUUACUGGGCGUAAAGCGCGUGUAGGCUGCUUGGAAAGUCGGAUGUGAAAGCCCUGGGCUUAACCUAGGAAGAGCAUUCGAAACUUCCGAGCUGGAGUGCUGGAGAGGAAGGCGGAAUUCUCGGUGUAGAGGUGAAAUUCGUAGAUAUCGGGAGGAACAUCGGUGGCGAAGGCGGCCUUCUGGACAGCAACUGACGCUGAGGAGCGAAAGCGUGGGGAGCGAACAGG